UGGGGAACUUUGCGCAAUGGGCGAAAGCCUGACGCAGCAACGCCGCGUGGAGGAUGAAGGCCUUCGGGUCGUAAACUCCUGUCAGGGGGGACGAAAGCCGCGCAAGCGGUUUGACUGUACCCUCUGAGGAAGCCACGGCUAACUCCGUGCCAGCAGCCGCGGUAAUACGGAGGUGGCAAGCGUUGUUCGGAAUUACUGGGCGUAAAGGGCGCGUAGGCGGCUUGGCAAGUCAGAUGUGAAAGCCCCGGGCUUAACUUGGGAAUUGCAUCUGAAACUGCUUUGCUUGAGUCCUGGAGGGGGUAGUGGAAUUCCCAGUGUAGCGGUGAAAUGCGUAGAUAUUGGGAGGAACACCUGCGGCGAAGGCGGCUACCUGGACAGUGACUGACGCUGAGGCGCGAAAGCUAGGGGAGCAAACGGGAUUAGAUACCCCGGUAGUCCUAGCCGUAAACGAUGGGCACUUGGUGUUGGGGGUAUUGAGUCCCCCGGUGCCGGAGUUAACAUAUUAAGUGCCCCGCCUGGGGAGUACGGUCGCAAGACUG
rnacentral:rRNA from 1 species